ACGUAGGGGGCAAGCGUUGUCCGGAAUUACUGGGCGUAAAGCGCACGCAGGCUGAGUUAUAAGUCGGUAGUCAAAUACGCAGGCUCAACUUCCGUCUAUCUAUCGAUACUGUAAAUCUAGAGUAUGUGAGAGGAAAGCGGAAUUCCCGGUGUAGCGGUGAAAUGCGUAGAUAUCGGGAGGAAUACCAGUGGCGAAGGCGCCUUUCUGGCCCAAUACUGACGCUCAUGUGCGAAAGCUAGGGAAGCGAACGG
rnacentral:rRNA from 1 species